rnacentral:SRP_RNA from 1 species
GCUGGGUGUAGUGGCGCAUACCUGUAAUCCCAUCACUUUGGGAGGCUGAGAUGGGUGGAUCACUUGAGGCCAGGAGUUCGAGACCAGCCUGGCCAACAUGGAGAAACCCCAUCUCUA